rnacentral:rRNA from 1 species
AUUGAACGCUGGCGGCGUGCUUAACACAUGCAAGUCGAUCGGUAACGCGGGGGCAACCCUGGCGACGAGAGGCGGACGGGUGAGGAACGCUUGGGAAUCUGCCCUUCAGCGGGGGACAACACGGGGAAACUCGUGCUAAUACCGCAUACGCUCCACGGAGGAAAGCCGGGGACCGCAAGGCCUGGCACUGAAGGAUGAGCCCAAGUCGGAUUAGCUAGUUGGCGGGGUAACGGCCCACCAAGGCGACGAUCCGUAGCUGGUCUGAGAGGACGAUCAGCCACACUGGGACUGAGACACGGCCCAGACUCCUACGGGAGGCAGCAGUGGGGAAUAUUGGACAAUGGGGGAAACCCUGAUCCAGCGACGCCGCGUGGGUGAAGAAGGCCUGCGGGUUGUAAAGCCCUUUCGGUAGGGACGAAAGCUCUCGACCUAACACGUCGGGAGGUUGACUUAACCUACAAAAGAAGCACCGGCUAACUCUGUGCCAGCAGCCGCCGUAAUAC